GACACACGUCCUCAUGCUGAGUUCCCGGCAGAAGGGGGACGGGAGGACAGUCGGGCUUUGUCCUCCCGCCCAGGCACGUCCUUGCCCUGGCACUGGGCAGAAAGGGAGGGCCGAACCCUGCCCGCCAGGCUGGCCCUGCAGGGGACUCUUCCUUUGUGAGCAGGGCAGUGUGGCCAGAGAGAGGGUUCUCUGGCCUUCGAGGUUGCCACAGGUCGCCGCAAGGGGGAGACCUUGGACGUGCCCUGAAGGCGUUCCAGCAGGUGCCAGGCCAGGCCCUACAGAUCCCCCCUCUUCUGACCAUUUCUUCGGUGCCGGCUGCUCGUCCAUCACAUCGGCCAGGAACCUUCCUGGAAUCCGGAAGAAUUCCCUGUGGUUCUCGGAGAGGUGGGGAACUUUCUUAGGACCACCCAGCUUGUAAUUAGCAAGCCAGGUUUGGAAUCGGAUUUUCCAAUUCACCAAAUGCUGCUGGUUUACCCCUCGAGGCAUCGUUUGAAUUGCAAAGCUUUAUUUUAUAGUCUUGGGUGGUCCUCAGACCAGACCACCUCAGGGGAUCUGGUGGAAAGGAAGCCUCUCCACCCGUCCCUGGGACUCAGAACCGGGGGUUUGAUCCCAUCCCCAGGUGACUCUAGGCACAGGCGCGAUUAGACCAGGGACAGGCCAGCUCCAGACACAGGUCGGAUGGGAGGAAGGCGCUGGAGUCAUUGCAAAGCCACAGAAAAACAGCACCUUGACCUGGGGGCAGCCUCCCCAAGCCAAGUGGGAUAUUUAGCGAGACCCUACGCUCUGAAUUAGAGUUUUAUCAAAUUCGAAGGGCAGUUACAGGUGUUUUUGAAUAAAACUGGGAAAUCCAUUUUUAACA
rnacentral:lncRNA from 1 species